CAAAUCAAACAUAAAGUAAAAGCAAACACAAUAAGUCAGUGAAUAACCUAAACAACAAUGUGACCCAACAUAUAUACAGGGAGCAAGCGGAUAAAGGAAUAACUAUGGCAGAGGUAGAUGCUGCUCAUAUAUACUACACUUGAAAAGCCAGUGGUUGCAAGAUGAUUCCUUAGUUUCAUAUAGACAAAUUUACCCAUGUUCUUGUAACUGUCUAGCAGAUACAAAAGCAUGCUUAUUUAGGGAAAAAAAGUUCACCGCACCUCCCCACUUCUCUGGGUCCUGAAUCCAAGAACAAUACUCUUGAUUUGACUUCCCAAUAAAUGCCUCAGAAUGUUUUACCGUAUCACUUGCUACUGUUGCUGCUAUAGCCUUCAAAAGAUGAUCGAUCACAAUGUUCAGAAAAUUAAUAAAUAACAGAGGCAAUAAAUAAUGUCAUUUAUGAAUACAAACUUGCCUAUGAAAAUAUAUGGUUGUCACUCUCAUGCCUGGCAAUAAUGAAAAUUUGAUCUACAUACUUCAAUUGCUGUUAAACAUUUAAAAACCUAUAUAAAGUGUACUUGAAUGAACAUUCACAUAAAACUAUUUUCAGUUGAAAGCAUAAACUUUUCGAAACGAUACUGGGUAAGAAAUAAAGCAGAGGAAAUUUUAGUUUCAAAAAUGACAUUAAUUUUCUUUCUUCAUUUGGAAUUCAAAAAUAGCGUAGAUAAAAUCACCUUCUGUCCAAUUACUCCAAUUUGGCAUACCCCAUAGCACAAAGUGAAGUUGGCCGUGUCCGUAUAGGUCUUUUUCCUAAAGAAUAGCAAAGAAAUCAAAACUUGAUAAUGUAUAAAUAGUGAACAUCAAUAUUCCAUAAUGAAAGAAAAUAAUUCAUCACAGGAUAAAAAGUAAAGUCAAAUAAAUUGCCUCCAAAUUGAUAAUAACUAUAGUAUCUUUCGACAAAAUAUGGGAUUAUCCCAAGAAUAUAUCUUGAUUUGCUAAUAUCUUUGCUGAGACUUUAUUGUAAUACUUCUACAGUAUUCGUGUGGAAUCAAGAAGCCCUUUCAUCAGGUAACUCAAUUUUCUGGAAAUUAAGUUAGCCUCAUCUUGGUCCUUGAAAACGCAGUUCCUCAUAUGCAUGUAAAUGCACAUAUAUUGGAACAAAAAACCAUGUCAAAGAAGGCAGGGAUUUGGUAACCUAAAUUAAAUGUCCUCUUAACAUAACUAAUAUCUCGACAUGAUUCUCACUGUGCAGUAAUGACCAAAUGAAUCUGAAUAAUAAAUUGGUCAAUUAAACAGCAGGUUAAAGAAGCUUGAAAAUAGUCCAUUUUCAUGUUAAAAAAAAAGUGUUUCGACCCGGUAAAUAGCUGGAAAACACUUGUGUGCUUGAAUAUGCUCAUCUUUCUUAGAGUUCAAAAAUAUCAUUGGAAAUGAUACCUCUAUGACCUAGAAUAGUACCUUUGCUGCUCCUUGACAAGUUUCAGAGCUAGGUCUUCUGCUGGCCCAAUGGUCCUGCCCUUCUGUACGGGAAAUAUAGUCUGAUCAAACUCCUCUGGAGCUCCCUCAAAUGGAGAUAUCUGCAGAUACAACAUACAAAAAUCAAGCACUCAUAAGAGAAGCACUUGGACUGAACAUAUAUCAUAGUAAUACCGAGGCUGUUUGCUUUGUUUUAUUUAUUUAUUUUUCUGUUUGAAUUCUGAAUUUGAUUCAUUUUCAGGCUUUUUGAUUAAUUUUAAAAAACUUAUAUCUGAAAAGGAAAAAAAGUUAUUCUGAUAAUAAUAAUUUUUUCUUCUUCUUUUUUGUCUUUUUGGGGAAAAGAUAUCAUAACCAUUUAAACUAAGGCAAAAACAUAAUAUGUUUAUACAAAUUUCAUUUUUUAAUAUGUAUGGCGACUACUUGACUUCCAACGCACCGGAAUUACCCAUUAUUGAUUGAGAGCGAUAGCGCUGGACUUGGAAAAGUCUUCCGUCCACGGCGGGACCCACAGAAGUUAGAAACGUUGAAGACUUAAUGAUCGCAAGUAAUGAGCUUGGAAAUUUCUUGCAGAAAAGUGAGAUCAGAUAUGGCUAAUCAAGGGACAUUUAAUUAUUAAUUAAAAUUUAUAAAUAGCAAGCGAUAUUGAUAACAUUCUCAGACACAAUUAAUCCUUCUCUAAAUAUAAUUUCUAUUCACAUUUUCACAGCAAUGAAACCUAACACGAGUGCUUUUGUUGCCCUUGCUUUGCUUGAGUUAUUUGCUAUAGCCACCAUGAUCAACAUUAGCCUCUGCAAUGGUACCUCUUGCAUAGAGAGUGAGAGAGAAGCGCUUUUAAAGUUGAAGCAUGAUCUCAGAGAUCCUUCAAAUCGCCUUGCCUCUUGGAUUGUUGAUAAUGGAGAUUGCUGUAAAUGGGGCGGUGUCUUUUGUAGCAACUUCACUGGCCAUGUCCUUGAGCUCAACCUCCAAAAUCCUUUCAGUCCUGAUGAAAAUGAAGCUUACCAGAGGUCGAAGCUGGUUGGUAAGAUAAAUCCCUCUUUGCUUGAAUUAAAGCAUUUGGUUCACCUGGACUUGAGUGGUAAUGAUUUUCAGGGAAUUCAAAUUCCAAAGUAUCUUGCUUCUCUUGUGAACCUAAGAUACCUCAAUCUUUCUGAAGCAAAUUUCACAGGAAUGAUUCCUCACCAACUUGGAAAUCUCUCAAAUCUGCAAUAUCUUGAUCUUACAGGGUAUUGGUUUGAGUUGCACGUUGACAGUUUUUCAUGGUUAUCCGGUCUUUCAUUGCUAGAGCACCUCUACAUGAGUUUUGUGAACCUCAGUAAAGCCUCUGAUUGGUUACUGUCAAUAAACUCACUCUCUUCUUUAAAAGAAUUGAAGUUAUCCUACUGCCGAGUCUAUCACCUUCCUCCGUUAUCCUCUGCUAAUAUUUCCUCCCUUAAUGCCCUUGAUCUUUCCGGAAACUAUUUUAAUGACACUUACAUUCCUAGCUGGGUUUUUGGUCUAAGUCAUUUAGUCUUUCUUGAUUUAGGCUCUAAUAAAUUUGCUGGUCAAAUCCCCAGUGGACUAGGAAACUUGACCUCUCUUGGACAUCUUGAUUUAUCUUUAAAUCAAUUCAAUUCUACAAAACCCGGCUGGUUGUCUAAGCUUAAUGGGCUUAAGUAUCUUUCUCUUCGUGGUAAUAGUUUUCAAGGUACGAUUUCAUCAAUUGGACUAGAAAACUUGACUUCUAUCAAAACACUCGACAUUGCUUUCAAUGAACAACUUGGAGGGAAAAUUCCAAAUUCAUUUGCAAGAUUUUGUAAGCUGAGAGUAAUUGAUGUCUCAUAUGUCAACUUGAGUCAAGAUAUCUCACAAGUCUUAGAUAUUUUCUCUGCAUGUGUUGCUGAUGCACUAGAGUCACUGUUUUUACGAAGAAGCCAAUUUUAUGGUCACUUGACAAAUCAACUAGGGCGAUUUAAAAAUCUCCGAGCUCUCGAUCUUUCCAAUAACACGGUGAACGGUCCUAUUCCGUUAUCUUUGGGGCAAAUCGCAAAUUUGGAAUCUCUAGAUUUGUCCAACAACAAGUUGAAUGGAACUGUUUCUGAAAUCCACUUUCUCAAUUUAACAAAACUGCUUGUGUUUUGUGCUCAUGGAAACUUGCUAGUCUUCAAAAUCAAUCCUAAUUGGGUUCCUCCAUUUCAACUCGCAUUUUUGGAGUUGAGAUCAUGUCAUUUAGGGCCUCGAUUUCCUUUGUGGCUUCAAUCACAAAAGAAAUUAUAUUAUUUGGAUAUAUCCAGCACAAGAAUCUCAGCCAAAAUUCCUCGUGGGUUUUGGAAUUCUAUUUUCCAGUAUGAUUAUUUAAAUGUCUCUGGUAACCAAAUCUAUGGUGGGGUUCCAAAGUUUGACAGUCCAUCAGUGCCUCUUAUUACCACACCAUCCUUGUUGGGUUCAAUAUUCGAUCUUUCCAAUAAUGCUUUAUCGGGAUCCAUUUUCCAUCUCAUAUGUCAGGGGGAGAAUUUCUCAAAGAACAUUGAAUUUCUCAAACUCUCCAAAAAUCAUUUUUCCGAAGACAUCCCUGAUUGUUGGAUGAAUUGGCCGAGGUUGCGUAUGUUGAACUUAGGCAACAACAACUUCACCGGUAGCCUUCCGAUGUCUAUUGGAGCUUUAAAUUCUCUUAUGUCUUUGAACCUCCGAAAUAAUAGAUUGUCUGGAAUAAUACCAACGUCGUUUAGAAAUUUAUCAAUUUUGAAAGCACUUGACAUGGGUGAAAAUGAACUUGUCGGCAAUAUUCCUACAUGGAUAGGAGAAACAUUUUCCAGAUUGAUGAUUCUCAAUCUUCGAUCAAACAAGUUUCACGGAGAUUUCCCCAUUCAACUUUGUCGUCUAGCUUCUCUACAAAUUUUAGAUGUGGCUUAUAACAGUCUCUCAGGGACCAUACCAAGAUGCAUCAACAACUUCUCUGCUAUGGCGACAACGGACUCAUCUGAUCCGAACAGCGGUAUAUUCUAUGCCUCAUCGGGGGACAACGAAAUUGUUGAGGAUGCAUUGCUUGUGACGAAAGGGUUUUUGGUUGAAUAUAAUUCCAUUCUUAAUUUGGUGAGAAGCAUUGACAUUUCCAAGAAUAAUUUCUCUGGAGAAAUACCUGUAGAAGUGACGAACCUUCAAGGAUUGCAAUCAUUGAAUUUGUCGCUGCUGUACGGCCAAGGCGGAUGUACGGUACAGCAGCAAACUUGUCAUUUCUGAAUUACCUGAACCUAUCCAACAAUAACUUGAAUGGAGAAAUUCCUUCAAGCACUCAAUUGCAAAGCUUUGGUGCAUCGUCUUUUGCCGGCAAUGACCUAUGCGGAGCUCCACUUUCAAAUUGCACUGAGAAGAAUAUUUUGAUACCUGAAGAUGAAAAUGGAAGUGGAAACGAAGAUGAUGAUGAAGAUGGAGUGGACUGGUUGUUGUAUAUAAGCAUGGCACUUGGAUUUGUGGUGGGAUUUUGGUGUUUCAUUGGCCCUUUACUUAUCAAAAGAAGAUGGAGGUACAAGUACUGUCAUUUCUUGGAUCGCCUUUGGGAUGGCUGCUUUGUAAGAAAAUGCUACCAGAUCUUUCAUGUUUGCACGUGUGUUUUCUAUGUACUUAAUCAAUAAAUGAUGCAUUACAAUAAAAUAAGGAAACUUUUUCUUGUGAUUGAAGAGGGAAUUUAAACAGAUGCCAGAUUUCUUUCAAAAGGCAAAAGUAGGAGUUUGUCUUACAGCUGAAGGUAAUAAUACCAAUCACCAUGUCUGCAAAGAAUCAUUUAAAGGUUUCUUCUAAAUUGUGUAGAAUAGUUGACAAAAUUAUUCAAAGACACGCCAAUAAGAAAAUUUUCAACAGUUAGUCAAUAUAUAACUAAACUAGAUUCAAAGUAAAAGCACUCAAUCUUGCAUCAAACAAAACAUUCCAAUAAAUGCAUGAUUUUAUAACAAAUUUCAUAAUACUAAUAUCUGAAUGAAUCUUUAGAUUUGUUACAACUCACAACAUUCCAUCACAACAUUUAUCAAUGAAAUCAAUAACAAUGUUAUUGGUUCUUUGAGAAGUCAAUGAACUCUGGCUCAAAGAGAAAAGAGUCAACUGGUAAAAUGAAUUACUUUUGGUACAUGGUUGCUAUGUCAUCUAUAUUCGUGAAAUUAACAUCAUGACAUGGCCGUAUUGGCUCAACAGCCUCCUGAAGAUUCACAUAAAAUUAUUUUCAGUUGAAAGCAUAAAUUUUAUGAAAAAAUGCUAAGUAAGAAAAAACGUAAGAGAAUUUUAUUGGCAAAAAUGACAUUUAUUUUCUUUCUUCAUUUGGAAUUCAUCAAUAGCAUAGAUAGAGUCACCUUCUGUCCAAUUACUCCAAUUUGGCAUACCUCACAGCGUAAGGUGAAGUUGGCAGUGUCACUAUAUCUCCUUUUCCUAAGGAAUAGUAAAAAAAUCAAAACUCGAUAAUGUAUAAAAGUAAACAUCAAUAUUCUAUAAUGAAAGAAAAUAAUUCAUCACAGGAUAACAAGUAAAGACAAAUAAAUUGCCUCCAAAUCAAUAACAAGUAACUCAAUUUUCUGGAAAUUCGGUUAACCGCAACUUGAUCUUUGAAAAUGCAGUAACUGAUAUGCAUGUACAUGCACAUAUGUUGGAAGAAAAAACAUGUCAAAGGCGGGGAUUUGGUAACCUCAAUUAAAUUUCCUCAUAACAUAGCUAAUAUCUCGACGUGAUUCUCACCAUGCACUAAUGACCAAAUGAAUCUGAAUGAUAAAAUUGGUCAAUUAAACAGCAGGUAAAAAAUAGUCCAUUAUCAUUUCAAAAGUCCUAAUUUCCAGCCUGUAAAUAGCUGGAAAACAAUUGUGUGUUUGAGCAUGGUACCUUUCUUAUUUGAGUACGAAAAUAUCAAACAUUUAUCACAGGAAACAAUACAUCUAUGAACGAGACUACUACCCUUGUUGCUCUUUAACAAGUUUCAAAAGCUAGCUCUUCUGCUGGCCCAAUGGUCCUGUCCUUUCGUACGGGAACUGAACUCUGAUCAAACUCCACUGGAGCACCCUCAAAUGCAGAUAUCUGCAGAUACAACAUAAAGAAAUCAAGCACUCAUAAGUUGAAUAGAAACUCAAGACAGCACAAGAAUUAAGAGGAGCACCGAUAGAGGGGAAAAAACUUGUGAAAACAUGAACCGGCGUGAAAGAUUAAUUAGCAUCACUCAAUAGGAAAAGGAUAAAGCAAGCUCAGGGAACUUUUUCUUAAAAGCAAGUUCUAAAACUUUUUUGCAUGUGCAGCCUUGAGGCAUGGGAUUUUUAAAAUCUUCUGAUUUAACAACCAGCAGAGCGAUCUAAAAGAAAAAUAAUUAUAGGAAAUUGAUCAUUAAACAUCAUACAGCUACAGCAUCAUAAUGAAGCUCGUCAUAGAUGAGCAUAACUCUUUCAGAAUACUUCUUUUCCUGGAAAUGAGAACACUGGAAAAAGGAACAUUCAGUAAUGCUGAACUCGCUAGAAUCUCAUGCACAAAGGAUUCAAGAAAACUACUAACCUGGCCAUACAAAUCACAUCUUGUGGUCUGAAUAUCAUAUGCUGCAAUUUCACGUCCAUAAUAAUCUGCUAAUAUCGAAAGCUCAAUGGCACCUUCAAAUCAAACAUAAAGUAAAAGCAAACACAAUAAGUCAGUGAAUAACCUAAACAACAAUGUGACCCAACAUAUAUACAGGGAGCAAGCGGAUAAAGGAAUAACUAUGGCAGAGGUAGAUGCUGCUCAUAUAUACUACACUUGAAAAGCCAGUGGUUGCAAGAUGAUUCCUUAGUUUCAUAUAGACAAAUUUAGACCCAUGUUCUUGUAACUGUCUAGCAGAUACAAAAGCAUGCUUAUUUAGGGAAAAAAAGAAGUUCACCGCAC
rnacentral:lncRNA from 1 species